rnacentral:rRNA from 1 species
UACGUAGGGGGCUAGCGUUGCUCGGAAUUACUGGGCGUAAAGAGCGUGUAGGCGGUUUGGUAGGUCCGUUGUGAAAACUCGAGGCUCAACCUCGAGACGCCGAUGGAAACCAUCAGACUAGAGUCCGGAAGAGGAGAGUGGAAUUCCUGGUGUAGCGGUGAAAUGCGCAGAUAUCAGGAAGAACACCCGUGGCUAAGGCGGCUCUCUAGUACGGUACUGACGCUGAGACGCGAAAGCGUGGGGAGCGAACAGG